CUCGAUUCCCGGCCGAGCCGCACGUUUUGAUACCUUUUUUGUGUACGUGCGACAAAAGCUGCGGGAGAAGAAGCGCGCCGAAAAACGUACGGAAGAAGAAUAAUAACUAGAAAAUUCCUAAAGAAAUUUUGAUUGUGCCUUGCUCUGGCCCAUAUGUUAAUACCAUGUCUACGUGCUAACCGCUAUUUAACCGCUAAUCGCUAGCUACAUGCUAAUCACUAGCUAAGCGCUAAUCGCUAGCUAAGUGCUAGCUGUGGUUAAUGUGUUUAAUUGUAUUAUGCUCCUGAAGGAGUGCUAAUGUAAAUUAAGGAACAGCUCAUAGUAGGGUAAAAUAUUUAAGGUGUAUUGUUCUUAUUUUGUGUUAAUAUUAAAAUCAUUCAGCUUUAAAUUGUUUGCUUGUUAGCCACCUGCUAAUUAUCUUUAGCUAGUCAGCUAGCGCUAGAUUAUUAAUGCCAUGUAAUCCUCCCUAUAGCAUAUUGAUAACCUGUCAUCCUCCUUAGCUAGCGCUAGCAUAUUAAUAUCAUGUCAUUCUCUUUAGCUAGCUAGCUAGAGCUAGCACACAUAAACACAUAAACCAAAGGUAGCGCUUAGCUACGUGCUAAUCGCUAGCUAACCGCUAAUCGCUAGCUACAUGCUAAUCACUAGCUAAGCGCUAAUCGCUAGCUAAGUGCUAGCUGUGGUUAAUGUGUUUAAUUGUAUUAUGCUCCUGAAGGAGUGCUAAUGUAAAUUAAGGAACAGCUCAUAGUAGGGUAAAAUAUUUAAGGUGUAUUGUUCUUAUUUUGUGUUAAUAUUAAAAUCAUUCAGCUUUAAAUUGUUUGCUUGUUAGCCACCUGCUAAUUGUCCUUAGCUAGCCAGCUAGCGCUAGCUUAUUAAUGCCUUGUCAUUCUCUGUAGCUAGCUGUGUGUGUGUGUGUGUGUGUGUGUGUGUGCAGGCUUUGGUUGUCAUGGCAAUCAGGGGAGCCCACAGCAGCUGCGCACGCUCUCUCUCUGUCUCUAACUCCUCAGAGAGACAGAAACAUUUAAAAUGAAUCCCCUCAAAAGCAUGGCCAGGAACGACCGAAAUGAAAACCGAAAAGACCGUGAGCGUCGUCAUCUUGUUGACUAUAGCACUGCCGAGUUUCAGUGGUUAAAGUUAAAAAAUGUGACCUGGGGAGAUUGAGAGAGAAGAGGUUCAACGAGCGUUUUUCAAGAUUUGUCCUCUAAAAUUAACAUGGGAGUAGAUGGGGCCGUGAGAGGGUGUUGCUGGCGCAUCAGUGCGUCUCCCGCCAAAACUAUUUGUCUGACAGCUUCAGCAGUGGUAUCACUGCGACCCCAACGAAUUUACCUACGUUUCUAUCUAUAAAUUAUUUCUGUAGAGUGAAAUUUGUGGCCAUGACAGCAGUUUACAAAUUUAUUUUUCAACAAAUUUUUCCCUUCUCCCCACACUCUAGCGAUGAUGUCACGCACUCUGGCAGUUUUUUUCAGUUGGAGGUUCUCGCAAUACACACCCAUUCAUUUUUUUGACCGGUUUUUGGCGAUUUAUCGGCAAACCGUUUGGCGAAAUUCUUAGAAAAGUCAUAGCACUCGAUUCCCGGCCGAGCCGCACGUUUUGAUACCUUUUUUGUGUAUGUGCGACAAAAGCUGCGGGAGAAGAAGCGCGCCGAAAAACGUACGGAAGAAGAAUAAUAAUAAGCCCGAGGAAGAGUAGUAUUGUGCUUGCUUAUGCAAGGCACAAUAAUAAGUAUGGGGAAUAAUAGUAUUGUGCUUGCUUAUGCAAGGCACAAUAACUAGAAAAUUCCUAAAGCAAUUUUGAUUGUGCCUUGCUCUGGCCCAUAUGUUAAUACCAUGUCUACGUGCUAACCGCUAAUCGCUAGCUGUGCGCUAAUCGCUAGCUAAGUGCUAACCGCUAGUUGCUAGCCAAGUGCUAGCUUUGGUUAAUGUGUUUAAUUGUAUUAUGCUCCUGAAGGAGUGCUAAUGUAAAUUAAGGAACAGCUCAUAGUAGGGUAAAAUAUUUAAGGUGUAUUGUUCUUAUUUUGUGUUAAUAUUAAAAUCAUUCAGCUUUAAAUUGUUUGCUUGUUAGCCACCUGCUAAUUAUCUUUAGCUAGCCAGCUAGCGCUAGCUUAUUAAUGCUUGUCAUUCUCUGUAGCUAGCUGUCUGUGUGUGUGUGUGUGUGUGUGUGUGUGUGUGAGCAGGCUUUAGUUGUCAUGGCAAUCAGGGGAGCCCACAGCAGCUGCGCGCGCUCUCUCUCUGUCUCUAACUCUUGAGAGAGACAGAAAACAAUUAAAACGAAUCCCCUCAAAAGCAUGGCCAGGAACGACCGAAAUGAAAACCGAAAACACCGUGGGCGUCGUCAUCUUGUUGACUAUAGCGUUGCCGAGUUUCAGUGGCUAAAGUUAAAAAAUGUGACCUGGGGAGAUUGAGAGAGAAGAGGUUCAACGAGCGUUUUUCAGGAUUCCUCCUCUAAAAUUAACAUGGGAGUAGAUGGGGCCGUGAGAGGGCGUUGCUGGCGCAUCAGUGCGUUUCCCGCCAAAACUAUUUGUCUGAAAGCUUCAGCAGUAGUAUCACUGCGACCCCAACGAAUUUACCUACGUUUCUAUCUAUAAAUUAUUUCUGUAGAGUGAAAUUUGUGGCCAUGACAGCAGUUUACAAAUUUAUUUUUCGACAAAUUUUUCUCUCUCCCCACACUCUAGCGAUGAUGUCACGCACUCUGGCGGUUUUUUUCAGUUGGAGGUUCUCGCAAUACACACCCAUUCAUUUUUUGGACCGGUUUUUGGCGAUUUACCGGCAAACCGUUUGGCGAAAUUCUUAGAAAAGUCAUAGCACACCAUUCCCGGCCGAGCCGCACGUUUUGAUACCUUAUUUGUGUAUGUGCGACAAAAGCUGCGGGAGAAGAAGCGCGCCGAAAAACGUACGGAAGAAUAAUAAUAAUAAGUAUGGGGAAGAGUAGUAUUGUGCUUGCUUAUGCAAGGCACAAUAACUAGAAAAUUCCUAAAGCAAUUUUGAUUGUGCCUUGCUCUGGCCCAUAUGUUAAUACCAUGUCUACGUGCUAAUCGCUAGCUCUGCGCUAAU